UCUAAAAAAUGCUGGGUUGUUUCUGUAAACACAUUGUUGGGUUGUUUAUGCUGGGUCAAAAUUCUGGGUUGUUUGGAGUACUUUAAACACACUGUUGGGUUGCUCAUGCUGGGUCAAAUGAAAUGUAGUGGGUAAUUUACAAAUGAACACAUGGUUGGGUAAAUUUGACCCAGCAAAUGGUUUAUUUUCCUUUCAUUGGCUGGCCGUUUCUCAAGGCAGCCUUCACAAUGUUCAAAAUAUUAUCAUUUAAAUAUUACCAAAUGUAGUUUUAAGAGUUUUUUAGGCGACAAUGUAUGUGUGUAAAGUUCAAAACUUCGAUCGGUUUUUGAAGAUAGCGUAUAUUUAAAAAUGUGCUCCAACGAUGUCGAAGCUUCGAGAUUCAGGCAAUCACUGGGCGCUCUGCGCUGAUGUACCCGCCCAACACAGCCUCACCUCGGCACGUCAUUCUGGAAAUCACCGCUGGCUGUAAUGUCUCUGUAGUGUUUAGAACGGCGGAUUUAUUUCAUUUCGGGUCUCAUAAAUCUAUUAUUUGUUCCUUGCCAAGUCCGAAUUAAGUUACGUUACUGUAAGGAUGCAAGUUCUGCCAUUUUUUGUCGAACUUUCUGGAGGACUUCAUUUCCUCUGAAGCGAGGUGCACGCCACUCAAAGCGGGCAGUAUUUUAUGCCAGGAUCAUUUUGAAAAACAAACACCAGGUUGGGUUAUUUUGACCCAGCAAUUGGUUUAUUAAUUGCCGCACUUUCUGGAUUCUUCGCUUCUGACUGGAUCACGCUAACGUUACUCGGACCAGGCGGUAUUUCAUGUUGUUAUGAGAAACAUGCCUCAUCGUUAAGUCGUAGUCGAGCUAUAUCUGCAUUCUUUUGAAAUAUUCAGUAAGUUAUACGUUGUAAAUUAAUCACUAAAAUCGUAUUCAUCUAUGAAUAAUUUAAAAUUCGAAAGGGGGAUUCGUGUUUCAUAUUAAAUCUAGACGGAGCGCUGUAAAUUACCCCUUGCCGUCACACGUUAAAUCCUGAGGUAAAUUAACAGUCAGAAAUAUACACUGACGUUCAUGUUCACCAUAGUUUUGUUUUGUAUUUAGUUACAAGGCGAAAACACGUUUCGUAUUAAAU